UUCAUUGUUGCCACUAAAUUUACCCUUAGAAAUCACUCCAGUAUAUCCCAAGUUGCCCUUGUCUUUGCCCUUAGCUUUAACAGAUCAGGUGAUUGUAUAAAGGCUUUUAUCAGACCAUUUUGUGUAGGCUACCUCACGGUUUAUCUCUGAGCACAGGAAACCCGGUAAGAACGCCUGGGACUAGGCUGAGGUUUAAGGACAGUUGACACUGUGAUCGACUAAAAACGGUUGAUUUUCUUUGGAUUUUAUUUUUUGCUUCAAAUUAAAUUAUUGACGGUUUCGAGAACGUAGUUUUUGAGCAUACAUGAUUCUGCUGAUCUAUUGAAAAACGCGACAUUUUUUUGGUAGCUAGAGAUCAAGUCGAUCAUUUUUAAGAACACAAAUGCAAAAUGCAUUGAAAUAACAUUGAAUAUUAUAUUGAGACAACAUCGAACAACACGAAUGCAAAAUUUAACCAUCUCAUGCCAUUACAGUUUGCGAAGCAUUCUGGAAAUCCACUCAAACAUCCACGCAAGCUCGCCCCCAGGGUCUUCUUGGUAAUUUUCAGCUGGACACCAUAUUGAAAAAUACCCAGGAGACCGUGGGGACGAGGUUGACAUCCACGAAGAGACGGUCAGUCAACACGCCUUUCCCACAGAGACAGACCCGGAUGUAAACAACUUUGGAAUCAAUUUGGUUUCAGAAAACACAGCAUUUAGAGAGAUAUGGUGAUUAAUUUAUUAAACUUUAUUUUCUCACAUAGACAAAGCAAACAAGACUAAAUAGAGUUUUGACCGCAAAGCACUGUUAGAAAAUUUGGAUACCGCUGAUACUAGGUACAGCGGUGUUUACCUUGAAGGGCUGUAAAAAAAUAAAAAUAGAUGGGGGGUUGGAAUCUGUUUCCUGUCUGCCCCUGCGUCUUGGCACGAAUACCCGAUUCAGACUGAAAAAGCAUGGUUCCAUAACAAUCGUACAUAUAUCAUACUCGAAGAUCCAGCGUACUUUGCGGGCGCUCAAUGUCCCGCAAAGUACGCGGGGAUGACCUUUGGGAGCGCCCGCAAUGUACGCUGGAUCUUCGAGCAUGUACAUAUAUUCACGAGUCAGCUAUUACAAGUUUGUUUUGUUUACAUUUAUAGUUUUCAAUAAACCAUGCAAUAAACCAAACAAAUAAAAUCCUUAUUGUCACGAUAGCUUUCAGCCUUGUAUUAAUCUCCCGUAAGCGACAACAACUAUUGUUCAAGUAUUUGGUGCCCAGUUAAGCUUUUCGCCAUUGAGUAUUGUUAAUGACCAGACAGAUAGUCAAAUUCUGUAAGAAUGACGACAUACAGCCAUCAACAAGUUCAAGGUAGGUCAAUUCUAUUAAAUCCCUGGUAUCCAGGAACCGCUUUCACUUGGGAUCCCGGUUCAACGUUUCGGUACGCGGUCUCACCUCUUUUUAUCCACUUACAUGAGACAUACUUCCAAUCAGUUCAUAAACAACUUCCAUAGUAUUCGCUAUUCUAUUUGGUAGUGAUUAAAGAACAUCGUCUUCCUUACCCAGGUGUUUUUUUUUCUAUGGUUCCGUCCCAAGCGCUUCUUGAUUUAAACACUAAUAACCCGUAAAUUGCAUUCCUCUCGGCACAUCUGCAAGCGCCAAUGAGCUUUUGGCAGCCAGUGAGCGAGCACAAUUAUUCCAUUAGCACCCUCUUCACCCGUCCCCAUCUUUGCAGAGUACCGAUUAGUGAUUCUCACAGCCAUAAAAGAGUGGGGAUUGCUCUAGAAGACUCCAUGAUAUCAGACAGGGUCUUUAACAAAGAUAAGUCAUCCUUCUUAGCAUUUUUUCUGGACCUUAAACUAGCAAGGAAAGGAAACUAAGGCGAGCAACUUGCACCGGUAACACCACCGAGUACCAGGCUGGUAUCCUGCCACUGUUAGCCCAAUCUCGUCAAAUACCGGAUAAAAACGACUUGGAAUAGGUUGCUUGUUCAGACGUGAGGGCAGUUGUUUAUCGUGCAUGGGACAUGAGCAGCGCAAGUUGCUUCUUCGUAACGUAUCCCAAUGUCGCCGGCAAACAUGCGAACCUACCGGCAACUUAGCGACACGACUAAGCUCCUCGGAAAGCUGGUAAAGUCGACCAAUGCAUCCUUUCCCGUUUCUAGUUUUGCAACUCAUCAUACAGUGUUGUGCAGGGGCGGGCGCCCGGCAAUUCCCCCGCCGGAAAUAGAGGCUGCGCGUGCGCACUACGUUCUGCAGCGGUGUGCAGAACGAACUAACACUCUUGAUUGCGAAGCAUUCUGGAUAUCCACUCAAACAUCCACGCAAGCUCGUCCCCAGGGUCUUCUUCGCCAUAUUGAAAAAUACCCAGGAGACCGUGGGGACGAAGUAGAUAUCCACGAAGAGACGGCCAGUCAACACGCCUUUCCCACAGAGACAGACCCGGAUGUAAACAACUUUGGAAUCAAUUUGGUUUCAGAAAACACAGCAUUUAGAGAGAUAUGGUGAUUAAUUUAUUAAACUUUAUUUUCUCACAUAGGCAAAGCAAACAAGACUAAAUAGAGUUUUGACCGCAAAGCACUGUUAGAAAAUUUGGAUACCGCUGAUACUAGGUACAGCGGUGUUUCACUUGGAGGGCUGUAAAAAACUUAAAAUAGAUGGGGGGUUCAAAUCUGUUUCCUGUCUGCCCCUGCGUCUUGGCACGAAUACCCGAUUCAGACCAAGAAAGCAUGGUUCCAUCACAAUCGUACAUAUACCAUGCUCGAAGAUCCAGCGUACUUUGCGGGCGCUCUAAGUCCCGCAAAGUACGCGGGGAUGACCUUUGGGAGCGCCAGCAAUGUACGCUGGAUCUUCGAGCAUGUACAUAUAUUCACGAGUCAACUAUUACAAGUUUGUUUUGUUUACAUUUAUAGUUUUCAAUAAACCAUGCAAUAAACCAAACAAAUAAAAUCCUUAUUGUCACGAUAGCUUUCAGCCUUGUAUUAAUCUCCCGUAAGCGACAACAACUAUUGCUCGAGUAUAUUUGGUGUCCAGUGAAGCUUUUGCCAUUGAGUAUUGUUAAUGACCAGACAGAUAGUCAAAUUCUGUAAGAAUGACGACAUACAGCCAGCAACAAGUUCAAGAGUACCGAUUAGUGAUUCUCACAGCCAUAAAAGAGUGGGGAUUGCUCUAGAAGACUCCAUGAUAUCAGACAGGGUCUUUAACAAAGAUAAGUCAUCCUUCUUAGCAUUUUUUCUGGACCUUAAACUAGCAAGGAAAGGAAACUAAGCUUCGCCACAAUUGGCAGGGUAGCCGCAACAGCAUGGCCAUUUACAGAUAAUAGAAGAUGUAAAAAGACUAUUUACAACAAGUUAUAGGAGAUGUAAAAAUUCAUCGACAACAUUAUUCAACAAGUGGAUGAGUCCUUUUUGCAAGAGGAGGCUUAGACUAACACUGGCAAAUAAAAAUAACAAUGUUUUUUUUCACUAAUGUAAUCUUAUUUUAAAGAUUAAAGACAAUACAC